AUCGAGGAAUUGUUUUAAAAGUGACUGGGAAUCUCAGUCAUCUCAGAGAUGGUGGAUUAUAAACAAAGUGCCAAGUGUCAUCUAAGUCUGUAAUAAACGAGCAGGAAAGUAUGGUGCCAAGGUCUUCCAUUUGAUGAAAAAUGUCAACUUAAUAUUCAGUGAAUCUACUAGUUCAAGAAAAGAAACAAGAAAAGAAGGCAUUUGACUUGGUUUAAGGAAA